AAUCAACGCUGGCGGCGUGCCUAACACAUGCAAGUCGAACGCGAAAGUGGAGCAAUCCAUGAGUAGAGUGGCAAACGGGUGAGUAACGCGUGGGCGACCUACCUUUGAGUGGGGGAUAACCUUCCGAAAGGAGGGCUAAUACCGCAUGACAUCCUGUGUUUGGAUACACGGAGAUCAAAGCCGGGGAUCGUAAGACCUGGCGCUUGGAGAGGGGCCCGCGUCCGAUUAGCUAGUUGGUGAGGUAAUGGCUCACCAAGGCUCCGAUCGGUAUCCGGCCUGAGAGGGCGGACGGACACACUGGAACUGAGACGCGGUCCAGACUCCUACGGGAGGCAGCAGUGGGGAAUUGUUCGCAAUGGGCGCAAGCCUGACGACGCAACGCCGCGUGGAGGAUGAAGAAUUUCGGUUCGUAAACUCCUUUCGACCGAGAUGAACACCUCGCGAUCUAAUACAUCGCGGGGCUGACAGUAUCGAGAGAAGAAGCCCCGGCUAACUCUGUGCCAGCAGCCGCGGUAAUACAGGGGGGGCAAGCGUUGUUCGGAAUUACUGGGCGUAAAGGGUUCGUAGGUGGCCGACUAAGUCAGACGUGAAAUCCCUCAGCUUAACUGGGGAACUGCGUCUGAUACUGGUUGGCUUGAGUGCAGGAGAGGAACGCGGAAUUCCAGGUGUUAGCGGUGAAAUGCGUAGAUAUCUGGAGGAACACCGGUGGCGAANGCGGCGUUCUGGACUGUAACUGACACUGAGGAACGAAAGCCANGGGGACCAAACNGGAUUAGAUACCCCCGGUAGUCCUGGCCCUNAACGAUUCCAGGUGAAGCGGUGAAAAUGCGUAGAUAUCUGNAGNANCNCCGGUGGCGAAGGCGGCGUUUUGGACUGUAACUGACACUGAGGAACGAAAGCCAGGGNAGCAAACGGGAUUAGAUACCCCGGUAGUCCUGGCCNUAAACGAUGAAUGCUUGGUGUGGUGGGUAUCGAUCCCCUGCCGUGCCGAAGUUAACGCAUUAAGCAUUCCGCCUGGGGAGUACGGUCGCAAGGCUGAAACUCAAAGGAAUUGACGGGGGCCCGCACAAGCGGUGGAGCAUGUGGUUUAAUUCGAUGCAACGCGAAGAACCUUACCUACCUUUGAAUCCACAGAACCUAGCAGAGAUGUUGGGGUGCCUUCGGGAACUGUGAGACAGGUGCUGCAUGGCUGUCGUCAGCUCGUGUCGUGAGAUGUUGGGUUAAGUCCCGUAACGAGCGCAACCCUUGUCCUUAGUUGCCAUCAGGUUAUGCUGGGCACUUUAAGGAGACUGCCGGUGAUAAACCGGAGGAAGGUGGGGAUGACGUCAAGUCCUCAUGGCCCUUACAGGUAGGGCUACACACGUGCUACAAUGGUCGGUACAGAGGGAAGCCAACCCGCGAGGGGGAGCGAAUCUCAGAAAGCCGAUCGUAGUCCGGAUUGGAGUCUGCAACUCGACUCCAUGAAGUUGGAAUCGCUAGUAAUCGCGGAUCAGAAUGCCGCGGUGAAUACGUUCCCGGGCCUUGUACACACCGCCCGUCACACCAUGGGAGUGGGUUGUACCAGAAGCAGGUAGACUAACCGCAAGGAGGUCGCCUACCACGGUAUGAUUCAUGACUGGGGUGAAGUCGUAACAAGGUAACC
rnacentral:rRNA from 1 species